rnacentral:rRNA from 1 species
AUUGAACGCUGGCGGCAGGCCUAACACAUGCAAGUCGAACGGUAACAGGAAGCAGCUUGCUGCUUUGCUGACGAGUGGCGGACGGGUGAGUAAUGUCUGGGAAACUGCCCGAUGGAGGGGGAUAACUACUGGAAACGGUAGCUAAUACCGCAUAACGUCGCAAGACCAAAGAGGGGGACCUUAGGGCCUCUUGCCAUCGGAUGUGCCCAGAUGGGAUUAGCUAGUAGGUGGGGUAACGGCUAACCUAGGCGACGAUCCCUAGCUGGUCUGAGAGGAUGACCAGCCACACUGGAACUGAGACACGGUCCAGACUCCUACGGGAGGCAGCAGUGGGGAAUAUUGCACAAUGGGCGCAAGCCUGAUGCAGCCAUGCCGCGUGUAUGAAGAAGGCCUUCGGGUUGUAAAGUACUUUCAGCGGGGAGGAAGGGAGUAAAGUUAAUACCUUUGCUCAUUGACGUUACCCGCAGAAGAAGCACCGGCUAACUCCGUG